rnacentral:rRNA from 1 species
GAUGAACGCUGGCGGCGUGCCUAAUACAUGCAAGUCGAGCGAACAGAUGAGGAGCUUACUCCUCUGACGUUAGCGGCGGACGGGUGAGUAACACGUGGAUAACCUACCUAUAAGACUGGGAUAACUUCGGGAAACCGGAGCUAAUACCGGAUAAUAUAUUGAACCGCAUGGUUCAAUAGUGAAAGACGGUUUUGCUGUCACUUAUAGAUGGAUCCGCGCCGCAUUAGCUAGUUGGUAAGGUAACGGCUUACCAAGGCAACGAUGCGUAGCCGACCUGAGAGGGUGAUCGGCCACACUGGAACUGAGACACGGUCCAGACUCCUACGGGAGGCAGCAGUAGGGAAUCUUCCGCAAUGGGCGAAAGCCUGACGGAGCAACGCCGCGUGAGUGAUGAAGGUCUUCGGAUCGUAAAACUCUGUUAUUAGGGAAGAACAAAUGUGUAAGUAACUAUGCACGUCUUGACGGUACCUAAUCAGAAAGCCACGGCUAACUACGU